rnacentral:rRNA from 1 species
UUGCCAGCAGCCGCGGACAAAAGGAGGGGGCGAGCGUUGUCCGGAAUCACUGGGCGUAAAGGGCGUGUAGGCGGCCUGUUAAGUCAGGCGUGAAAGCCCUGGGCUUAACCUGGGGACUGCGCUUGAAACUGGCGGGCUUGAGGGCAGGAGAGGAAAGUAGAAUUCCCGGUGCAGCGGUGAUAUGCGUAGAUAUCGGGAGGAACACCAGUGGCGAAGGCGGCUUUCUGGACUGCACCUGACGCUGAGGCGCGAAAGCCAGGGGAGCGAACGGGAUUAGAUACCCCGGUAGUCCUGGCCGUAAACGAUGGGUACUAGGUGUGGGAGGUAUCGACUCCUUCCGUGCCGGAGUUAACACAAUAAGUACCCCGCCUGGGGAGUACGGCCGCAAGGCUGAAACUCAAAGGAAUUGACGG